GACGAACGCUGGCGGCGUGCUUAACACAUGCAAGUCGAACGGAAAGGCCCUGCUUUUGUGGGGUGCUCGAGUGGCGAACGGGUGAGUAACACGUGAGUAACCUGCCCUUGACUUUGGGAUAACUUCAGGAAACUGGGGCUAACACCGGAUAGGAGCUCCUGCUGCAUGGGGGGGGUUGGAAAGUUUCGGCGGUUGGGGAUGGACUCGCGGCUUAUCAGCUUGUUGGUGGGGUAGUGGCUUACCAAGGCUUUGACGGGUAGCCGGCCUGAGAGGGUGACCGGCCACAUUGGGACUGAGUUACGGCCCAGACUCCUACGGGAGGCAGCAGUGGGAAUUAUUGCACAAUGGGCGGAGGCCUGAUGCGGCAACCCCGCGUGCGGGAUAACGGCCUUCGGGUUGUAAACCGCUUUCGCCUGUGACGAAGCGUGAGUGACGGUAAUGGGUAAAGAAGCACCGGCUAACUACGUG
rnacentral:rRNA from 1 species